rnacentral:ncRNA from 1 species
AACGAUAAAGGCAAACUCCGAGUGAUCGGGGGACGCAAAGGAAAGGGUCUUUAAUAGGUUCAUGCGGGGUUCACCUGAGAUAAUAAAAGAGACGCGUACCAUAGAGGAAGCUUUAACUUUUAAAGAUAGCCUUACUGCCGAAG